rnacentral:precursor_RNA from 11 species
CCUUCUCCAGAUCUCCGGCGUGCCUCGAGUUGAGGUAGUAGGUUGUAUGGUUUAGAAUAACACCAUCAGGAGAUAACUGUACAGCCUCCUAGCUUUCCCCGGGGCAACGCCACAGUAUGAGAGAGAGA